UUUUUGAAUAUAUAAAAAGUACUUUCUGCCCGGUGUUUUUAUUAACGGCUGCGGUACUCUGACCGUGCGAAGGUAGCAUAAUCACUUGCCUUUUAAUUGGAGGCUAGUAUGAAUGGGAUCACAGAAAAUAAUCUUUCUUUUUUUUAUUUGUGAAAAUUUUUGUUGAAGUGAAGAAACUUUAAUUUAGAAAAAAGACAAGAAGACCCUAUCGAGUUUUAUCCUUAAAAAUAAAUUUAUCUUUUUUAUUUUAUAAAAAAAGUUAUUUAUCUUAAGGGUUGAAUUGGGGCGAUUGAGGAAAUUUUUGUAACUUCCUUUAUAUUUUUUUGUUUUAAAUCUUUAAAGAUCCUUUCAUAAAGAUUAAAAGAUUAAAUUACCGUAGGGAUAACAGCGUAAUCUUUUUGGAGAGUUCUUAUCGAUAAAAGGGAUUGCGACCUCGAUGUUGGACUAAGAUAAUCUUAAGGUGCAGAAGCUUUAAAGGAUGGGUCUGUUCGACCUUUAAAAUCUUACAUGAUCUGAGUUCAGACCGGCGUGA
rnacentral:rRNA from 1 species